ensembl:lncRNA
AAGUUUUUAAACUGGAUAAAACCAGCACAAUGGCAGUAUGGAUGCACAACAACCGCUGGACAAGAACAUCAGAACAUCUCUUCUCCUUGAUGAACACAAAGUUUGAACAGUAUCUGAAAUAAAAAGUGAUUUGAAGCAUCAUCUACUGUAAUCUAUGCAGCCUGUGAGUACUAAAGGAUGUUAAAUCUGUGUUUUAUUGAACCAACACAGGCAAUUCAACAGGCUUAUAAGUUUGUAAGGCCACAGAAUAGAAUUGCAUUUGUUUACAAUUUAUACACGUGAGAUAUACAGAGAGAUACAUACAAAAAAAAAAGCUCAGAUAAACAAAAAUAAAAGGUUUUGGCACCGUGAGCGAGACGUGAAGAAAACACCAAAAUUCAAUACUGAAAUCUCACUAAGCAAAGAUAUUUCCUAGCAAACUAUUUCUACAUAAGGCAAAACAUAUAAUGCAGUUAAAUUAUUAGUGAAUCAUCACUUCAAAAUUAAAUCUUUCAAUAAGAUAUCAAACUUACAUACAACAUUUUUAUGUAGACAUUCUGAGUAACAUCAGAGCAAAGUUGUGUGCUGUUGUUAUGGGAUGGCAGUGGAGUUGUUUAAAGGCACGUCUGUGGUUGUUCAGGAAAGGCUCUUAUGUCUUGUUGGCACAGAAACACUCUGACGCAGUGAAAACGAGUGUCUGAUUACUGCCGUCCACUUAAAGAGUCCAUGAGGGAUUCAUCAAUGAGAUCUUGGCAAAUGGCUUUCACAACAAGAGUAUUGGUCAAUAUGACUUGACCUCCAAAUUAUAGCAAAAUGACUCCCAUAUUAUCAUGAAAGUAUGCGUUAUAGUUUUGGAUCAUUUUGUAACCUUUACACUGUCAAGUCACUGUUCUGUGGUUUGCACAGAGGAGUGUGUUUGAUGUGUAUGGAAAUGGCAUUCUGGAACAUAUUCACUCUCAGAAAUAAAGGUACAAAAGCUGUCACUGGGAGUGUUCAAAUCCUAGUUAUUAAAAACAAAACCUAAAAAAGGAGAAAAAAAACACUGAGGAUAGUUUACAAGAUAUGCUUGUGAAAAUCAACAGGUUUGAACGUAUUGGAAGAGCAUUCAUUCAUUCGUUCAUUAUAUCUCUCUCUUUCUUCUGAAGUCGAUGCUACUUCAUAUCCUGAUCUUUUCUUCCAAUCAUAACCAGAUUUCUGUCUUUAUGACUGCGUCCAGACUGAAAGAGACAAAAAGAGCAGGGUUUAGAUUUAAUAUUAAUAUACUUUCAUGAGAGUACCAUAUAUUUAAUAAUCAUCAAAUACAUUCGGCUGGCGUCUAAUGAUCAGGGUCAUUUUGAGCAACUGCCACCCAUGUUAGGGAGUUAAAGAGGCUGUGAA